rnacentral:rRNA from 1 species
GUGGGGAAUCUUGCGCAAUGGGCGAAAGCCUGACGCAGCCAUGCCGCGUGAAUGAUGAAGGUCUUAGGAUUGUAAAAUUCUUUCACCGGGGACGAUAAUGACGGUACCCGGAGAAGAAGCUCCGGCUAACUUCGUGCCAGCAGCCGCGGUAAUACGAAGGGGGCUAGAGUUGUUCGGAAUUACUGGGCGUAAAGGGCGCGUAGGCGGACAGCUUAGUCAGAGGUGUAAGCCCAGGGCUCAACCUUGGAAUUGCCUUUGAUACUGGCUGUCUUGAGUUUGGGAUAGGUGAGUGGAACUCCGAGUGUAGAGGUGAAAUUCGUAGAUAUUCGGAAGCACACCAGUGGCGAAGGCGACUCACUGGCCCAAUACUGACGCUGAGGCGCGAAAGCGUGGGGAGCAAACAGGAUUAGAUACCCUGGUAGUCC